rnacentral:rRNA from 1 species
CCCUUAGAUGUUCUGGGCCGCACGCGCGCUACACUGAUGCAUUCAACGAGUUUCUUCCUGGUCCGAGAGGAAUGGGUAACCUUUUGAAAGUGCAUCGUGAUAGGGAUAGACUAUUGCAAUUAUUGGUCUUCAACGAGGAAUUCCUAGUAGACGUAGUUCAUCAGACUGCAUCGAUUACGUCCCUGCCCUUUGUACACACCGCCCGUCGCUCCUACCGAUUGAAUGCUCAGGUGAGCCAUUCGGACUUUCAUCAUGCUGGUUUCCAGUUUUAUGAAGGAAAGUCUUGCGAACCUUAUCAUUUAGAGGAAGGAGAAGUCGUAACA